GAUGAACGCUGACAGAAUGCUUAACACAUGCAAGUCAACUUGAAUUUGGGUUUUUAACUUAGGUUUGGGUGGCGGACGGGUGAGUAACGCGUAAAGAACUUGCCUCACAGCUAGGGACAACAUUUGGAAACGAAUGCUAAUACCUAAUAUUAUGAUAAUAGGGCAUCCUAUAAUUAUGAAAGCUAUAAGCGCUGUGAGAGAGCUUUGCGUCCCAUUAGCUAGUUGGAGAGGUAACGGCUCACCAAGGCGAUGAUGGGUAGCCGGCCUGAGAGGGUGAUCGGCCACAAGGGGACUGAGACACGGCCCUUACGCCGACGGGAGGCAGCAGUGGGGAAUAUUGGACAAUGGACCAAGAGUCUGAUCCAGCAAUUCUGUGUGCACGAUGAAGUUUUUCGGAAUGUAAAGUGCUUUCAGUUGGGAAGAAAGAAAUGACGGUACCAACAGAAGAAGUGACGGCUAAAUACGUG
rnacentral:rRNA from 1 species